rnacentral:rRNA from 1 species
UACGUAGGGUGCGAGCGUUAAUCGGAAUUACUGGGCGUAAAGCGUGCGCAGGCGGUUCGUUAAGUUCGAUGUGAAAGCCCCGGGCUCAACCUGGGAAUUGCAUUGGAAACUGGCGGGCUUGAGUGUGGCAGAGGGGGGUGGAAUUCCACGUGUAGCAGUGAAAUGCGUAGAGAUGUGGAGGAACACCGAUGGCGAAGGCAGCCCCCUGGGUCAAGAUUGACGCUCAUGCACGAAAGCGUGGGGAGCAAACAGG